UUUGUAAUUCUGUAGGCACAUCUAUUGAGAAGUUACAACCAGUGGCAAAGUGCCUUAAGGGAAUCUAUGACAUAUAUAAUUGAAGGGACAUCUCCUCUGAAGGAAUUACAAUUAUUUGCCAGUAUGUCAAAUGAAUUUUCAACAUCAGUCAUACUUUCAUGAAUUUAUUGAUGAAAAUAAAACUAGGUACAUGAUUUAUUAUUUACUUCCAAGGGAUUCUAAGAUACUAUGUGUAAAAAGUCCAAUAUGCAGUGAUGAGCAUGCUAAUAACUGGCAAAAUAUGGGAUAUAACGCCAAAGAUGGGAAACAUGGGAUGCAUUCUGAAGUAAAAAGAGAUGAAACUGAGAGAAAUUAUCGAUAUAAACAUAUAAAUUAACAUUACAUUACAACUACAUAGUUUCCCACCUUUAGACGUAUCAGAUGAGUAUGAGAACUGUCACUGUGCCAGGAGAAUUUUAUAAAAUACUCCUGUCACAGAGAUCUAAAGGUGGGAAACUAUGUAAUGUUAUCGUCGGCUAAGAGUGUUAACCUGCUAACUCCAUUUUUCACUGUGAGUGAUAUUGGGGUAGUUUCUAGGUCCGUGUACCUUCAUACCAUGUCCCACAAGCCCGCUGGUUCCACUGUAGUUUAGAGAUCGCUAUUUCUAAACUACAUUGGUGUCGGCGGGUUUGUGGGGUGGUGUAUGAAAAUACACGGACCCAGAAACUAGCCCAAUAUCACUCAAAGUGAAAAAUGGAGUUAGCAGGUUAAAACUCUUAUCCAAGGUUAUGUUAAUUUAUUCGUUUAUAACGAUAAGUUCCACUUCUACCAGUUUCAUCCCUUUUUAUCUCACAAGUUAAUAUGUUUUCCAUAUUUUGCGUUAUUUUGCCGGUUAUUAGUGUGAGUACUCAUUACUGUAUAUUUACGAUUCUGUGAUUUCUCAAUAUGAUGCUGAGUAGGUAUAGAUCUGAGUAGGUAUAUAGUAGGUAUCUACAACCCUUUCAAAACAGAAAAUAAGUUCAUUUUAUGUACCUAUUAAACUUUAUUUUAAGGAUGAAUUUGAAAUGCUUGUAGGGAAUAUAUCUGUAAAAAAUAAAAUUGGUAUUGUAAAAUUGAAAUUCUCAAAAUAUAAUUUAUAAUUCGAA